GGCCGCGGGAAUUCGAUUACGGCUCAGUAACACGUGGACAACCUACCCUUGGGUCCGGCAUAAUCCUGGGAAACUGGGAAUAAUUCCGGAUAGGUCACCGAUGCUGGAAUGCGCGGUGGCCGAAAGCUCCGGCGCCCGAGGAUGGGUCUGCGGCCUAUCAGGGUUGUAGUGGGUGUAACGUACCUACUAGCCUACGACGGGUACGGGUUGUGAGAGCAAGAGCCCGGAGAUGGAUUCUGAGACACGAAUCCAGGCCCUACGGGGUGCAGCAGGCGCGAAAACUUUACAAUGCGGGAAACCGUGAUAAGGGGAUCUCGAGUGCCAGCAUAUAAUGUUGGCUGUCCAGAUGCCUAAAAAGCAUCUGUUAGCAAGGGCCGGGCAAGACCGGUGCCAGCCGCCGCGGUAACACCGGCGGCCCGAGUGGUAACCGCUAUUAUUGGGUCUAAAGGGUCUGUAGCCGGCCAGGUAAGUCCCUUGGGAAAUCUGGCAGCUCAACUGUCAGGCUGCUAGGGGAUACUGUUUGGCUUGGGACCGGGAGAGGUGAGAGGUACCUUGGGGGUAGGGGUUGAAAUCUUGUGAUCCUCGAGGGACCACCAGUGGCGAAGGCGUCUCACCAGAACGGGUCCGACGGUAAGGGACGAAAGCUAGGGGCACGAACCGGAUUAGAUACCCGGGGUAGUCCUAGCCGUAAACGAUGCUUCGCUAGGUGUCAANUCACGG
rnacentral:rRNA from 1 species